rnacentral:rRNA from 1 species
AUUUAAAGUCUAACCUGCCCAAUGAGUAGUUGAAUGGCCGCAGUAUUUUGACUGUGCAAAGGUAGCAUAAUCAUUAGUUUCUUAAUUAGGAACUGGAAUGAAAGGUUGGACGAGAAAAUAACUGUCUCUUUAUAAAUUAUUUAGAAUUUUAUUUUUAAGUUAAAAAGCUUAAAUUUUUUUAAAAGACGAGAAGACCCUAUAGAGUUUUAUAUACUUUUAUUUAAUAAUUUAAAUUGAAUUUUUAAAAUUUUAUUUAAAAUUAUAUUUGAUUGGGGUGAUUAAAAAAUUUAUUGAACUUUUUUUUUAUAGAAACAUUAAUUUAUGAAUUAUUGAUCCAUUUAUAAUGAUUAUAAGAUUAAAUUACCUUAGGGAUAACAGCGUAAUUUCUUUUUAGAGUUCAAAUCGAUAAAGAAGUUUGCGACCUCGAUGUUGGAUUAAAAUUUAAUUUUGGUGUAGAAGCUAAAAAAAUUAGGUCUGUUCGACCUUUAAAAUUUUACAUGAUCUGAGUUUAAACCGGUGUGAGCCAGGUUGGUUUCUAUCUUUAAAUAAUUUAAAUAUUUUAGUACGAAAGGACCAAAUAUUAGUAAAAUUUAU